rnacentral:misc_RNA from 1 species
GAUGAAGAACGUAGCGAAAUGCGAUAAGUAAUGUGAAUUGCAGAAUUCAGUGAAUCAUCGAAUCUUUGAACGCACAUUGCGCCCGCCAGUAUUCUGGCGGGCAUGCCUGUUCGAGCGUCAUUACAACCCUCAGGCCCCCGGGCCUGGCGUUGGGGAUCGGCGGAAGCCCCCUGUGGGCACACGCCGUCCCUCAAAUACAGUGGCGGUCCCGCCGCAGCUUCCAUUGCGUAGUAGCUAACACCUCGCAACUGGAGAGCGGCGCGGCCAUGCCGUAAAACACCCAACUUCUGAAUGUUGACCUCGAAUCAGGUAGGAAUACCCGCUGAACUUAAGCAUAUCAAUAAGCGGGGA